UACGUAGGGUGCGAGCGUUGUCCGGAAUUAUUGGGCGUAAAGAGCUUGUAGGCGGUUUGUCGCGUCUGCUGUGAAAAUCCGGGGCUCAACCCCGGACUUGCAGUGGGUACGGGCAGACUGGAGUGUGGUAGGGGAGACUGGAAUUCCUGGUGUAGCUGUGGAAUGCGCAGAUAUCAGGAGGAACACCGAUGGCGAAGGCAGGUCUCUGGGCCACUACUGACGCUGAGAAGCGAAAGCAUGGGGAGCGAACAGG
rnacentral:rRNA from 1 species